CGGCAUACUUAACACAUGCAGUCGAACGAACCCUUCGGGGUUGUGGCGCACGGGUGCGUAACGCGUGGGAACCUGCCCUUAGGUUCGGAAUAACAGUUAGAAAUGACUGCUAAUACCGGAUAAUGUCUUCGGACCAAAGAUUUAUCGCCUUUGGAUGGGCCCGCGUAGGAUUAGGUAGUUGGUGGGGUAAAAGCCUACCAAGCCGACGAUCCUUAACUGG
rnacentral:rRNA from 1 species